CCUUCUCCUGACCUUGCCAGUGAGAGAGAAAGAGGACAGAGCCGCUCUGUGUGUGUGUGUGUGUGUUUGUGUGUGUGGGUGUGUGUGUGUGUGCACGUGAGUGAGGCAGUGACGGAACAGUCCCAGUUUCUGCACUGCAGCUCUCUCGGAUGGUCCUGAAGGAAAUGAAGCUGCAAUAGCAGUGAAGUAAAUCUGGCAAUGUGCCAGAGGGAGUAAGACAGAAAGUAAGACAGGAGCGAGGGAGUAAGACAGAAAGUAAGGGAAGGCGAGGUAGAUCGGAUGUCAGCAGCGUGUGUGUGUGCUGCAGUGCACUGUGUGUUGCGAUGACGUUGGGAUGAGAUGAGUGAUGGUGGUGGGGUGGUGGGCGAGGGGUGCCGCCCCUUCGCCCUGUUCGACAGUUUUGUGCAGGCGUCGACAUGCAGGGAGACACUGCGAGCCUUUCAGGAGCUCUGUGCUGAGCUCAACCUGCAGCCAGGAGACAAUCCGCUAUUCUACAAGACCCUGAGGUCCAGACUGAACUACUGGAGAGCCAAAGCACUGUGGGCCAAGCUGGACAAACGAGCCAGCCAGAAAGAGUACCAGAGGGGCCACGCUUGUUCUAACACUACAUGUCUCAUAAUAGGCGCAGGACCAUGUGGGCUUCGUACAGCUAUCGAGUUGAGCUUUCUGGGUGCGAGGGUGGUGCUGGUGGAAAAAAGGGACACUUUCUCCAGGAACAACGUCCUCCAUCUCUGGCCUUUCACCAUCCAGGACCUGCGUGGCCUCGGAGCCAAGAAGUUUUAUGGAAAGUUCUGCGCAGGAGCCAUAGAUCAUAUCAGUAUCCGUCAGCUGCAGAUCAUACUGCUGAAAGUGGCUCUGCUCCUGGGUGUGGAGGUUCAUGUGAAUGUGGAGUUCAGGAGUGUGAAGGAACCUCCAGAGAACCAAGAGAACCAAAGUAUUGGCUGGAGUGCUGAGAUCUAUCCAGCUGAACAUCCAGUGAGUGAGCUGCAGUUCGAUGUGGUUGUUGGAGCAGACGGCAGGAGAAACACCUUACCGGGAUUUCGUAGGAAGGAGUUCAGGGGAAAGCUGGCCAUCGCUAUUACUGCAAAUUUCAUCAACCGUAACACUACAGCAGAGGCCAAGGUGGAGGAGAUCAGCGGCGUUGCCUUUAUUUUCAACCAGAGGUUCUUCCAGGAGCUGCGUGGUGCCACCGGUAUCGACCUGGAGAACAUCGUCUACUAUAAGGAUGACACGCAUUACUUUGUCAUGACAGCUAAGAAGCAGAGUCUGCUGGAGAAAGGAGUCAUUCUGCAUGACUACGCCGAUACAGAGGUUUUGCUCUCCAGAGACAAUGUAGACCAGAAUGCCCUGCUGGAGUAUGCACAGGAAGCAGCAGACUUCUCCACCAAUCACCAGCUUCCGACUCUAGACUUUGCCAUGAAUCACUACGGGCAGCCGGACGUGGCUAUGUUCGACUUCACGUGCAUGUACGCCACGGAAAACGCCGCCCUCUUCCGUCAGCGCAGGGGACAUCGGCUGCUGGUGGCGCUGGUGGGAGACAGUCUGCUGGAGCCAUUCUGGCCGAUGGGGACAGGCAUUGCUCGAGGUUUCCUGGCUGCUAUGGACACAGCGUGGAUGGUUCGGAGUUGGGGAAUGGGGCUGGACCCUCUAGAGGUGCUGGCUGAAAGAGAGAGUGUGUAUAGACUGCUGCCUCAGACCACGCCCGAGAACGUCAGUAAGAACUACAGUCAGUACAGCCUGGACCCCAGCACUCGCUACCCUAACCUCAACACACAGGUUAUUAAUGCAUCUCAGGUUUGCCACCUCAUAGACACAGAUGAAGGGCCACUUUUGGGAGUUGUCAUGGGACCUUCUCCAACAUCGAGACUUACACACCAAGACUCCACGGGACGUUCGAGUAAGCUGCUGAGUUGGUGCCAGGAACAGACGCAGGGCUACAGGAGCGUGAGUGUGACGGACCUCACCACAUCCUGGAGGAGCGGGCUAGCACUCUGCGCUCUCAUCCACAGAUACAGACCUGACCUCAUAGAUUUCGACUCUCUGGAUGAGAACGAAGCUGAGCUGAACAACCAGUUGGCCCUGCACGUAGCUGAGCAGGAGUUAGGGAUCUCUCCCAUCAUGACCGGUCAGGAGAUGAGCGUGCUGGACGAGAGCGACUCUCUCUGCAUGGUCAUGUACCUCAGCCAGCUUUAUGAUCUCCUAAAAGACACAGCGCCACUCAGUGACACUCUGAGUCCUGAGGACAGAGCAGCUUUGAUGUCUAGCACCAAGUCUCCGCUGUCUUUACUCAACAAGCUUGGACAGAGUCUGUCUCGCAAACGGAACCCCAAGGAUAAGAAAGAGAAAGCUGUUGAUGGAGUAGGAAAGAGAAGAAGGACGAGUCAAGCCGGACAGUCGGAAGACGAGGAGGUUUCACCAGACCAGAGCGAGGACGUCCAAGCAGUGAGCCCUGAAUCGGAUUCGAGCACGGCGACGGUUUCUGGUGGCAACCAAAGCCGGGUCAAAUCGAUGGCGUCUCUGCUGUUGGCCAAGUUUGAAGAAAAUGCCUCCUCACCUUCUUCAGCCACUACGAUACGGAGACAGAAGUACAUUAAGAUGUACACAGGGGGAGUGAGCUCAUUGGCUGAGCAGAUAGCCAAUCAACUGCAGAGUCAGCAACACAAACCCAAACCACUUCUUGACAAAAGGGAGCUGGGUUCUCAGAGGAGAGAAUUCCCGGCGAACAUUGGCGGCAGUGAUGUGUGCUAUUUCUGCUCCCGGCGUGUCUACGUGAUGGAGAGACUGAGUGCUGAGGGCAAGUUCUUCCACAGGAGCUGCUUCCAGUGUGUCCACUGCAGCUCUACACUACGCCUCUCCAGUUACGCCUAUGAUGAGCUACAAGGGAAGUUUUAUUGUAAGCAACACUACGGAUACAGGCUGACGGGAAUGGCUCAGAGGAAGAGACCAGCUCCGAUCACAUCUCCUCCUCAUUCUGCACAGGCACCUCCUGCUUCUCCUCCCACUCCCAUGUCGCUCUCCUCCUCCGGUUCAGUAGACGUGGUCCCUCCCCCUGACAGCGUCUCCUCCAGCACUCCUCCAGACCCUCUGAGUGGACUGGCUAAGCGGCUGUGUGGAACUCCGGAGCGCAUCGUGCUGGAAAACUACAGGCCCAGCUUACAGGAGGAGAGCAGUCCUUUACUAGAGGUGCCUGAGGAGACGCUAGCUCAACACAACCUCAGCCUGAGCCUGCAGGAGAAAGGGAGUGAGGAGCAGUCUAGUAGUUCAGAGUCAGAGCUGGAGGAAGAAGGGGAGGAGCCUUUGAGGAGGGGGGUGGAGCCACAGGCCAGAACAGAUGGAGAGACCGAGUUAGAUAGUGGGACGGAGCAAAGAAAGGAAAAAGAGAGAGAAAAGGAUGAGAGGGAGGGUGAAAAACAAGACGUUUCUGAAGAAGAAGAGGAUGAAGGGGAGUCUAGUGAUGAGGGCGAAUACUGCCCUUGGGAAAAGGAGUUACAUUUAGGGGUGUGGCUAAAGGAAGAGGAGGCAAGUGGGAUUAAAGAGUCCUGUAAGGAACACACUGAUGAGCUGGAGGUAAAAUCUCUUUCAGAGAGAGAGACUGAACCAAGUAUCCCUAAGCCAUUGGAGCCACUUCCUUUGCUAACAACAAAAACCCUACACACACCAACAGGAGAGCCUUUACUCACCUGUACAGCCACAUUCAACCGUCCUGUUACACCCGAGGACCUGGCAACCAAGAGAUCUGGGGUGAUUGAGGAAUUCUGGCUGAAGAGUGCGGAAAUCAGGAAGGGUUUGAGGCAAUCAGUGGUGCCUGUGAUCUGUGAUCAAAACAUCCAACCCUCAAGCACUGGAGAUAGAUUUUACACCUGUACACACACAACAUCUGAUUCCAACUUGCCUUCACACACUCCCUUUAAGAGUGACUCAAUCAACCAAACCUCAGGUACCCUAACUCAGAGUGCUGGCAUUUACAGCACACAGACCCCUUCUAUGACUGAGCUACAAAGUCCAAACACACAUUUUCAAGGUGAUACAACAUCAUGUGCCAACUCACAACCUUCAGAAGCAAGGAUUGAGAAUGUGUCUGGAAUGAAGGACAGGAAUGAACUAGAGGAGGUAGUGGACCAUUCUUCAAUGGUCUGUAGGCUUGGUGUCACUUUGGAGGGUCAGGUAGCAGAACAGGAAAGAGGCUUGAUCUCCUCUUCCAACAUCAGGGGAACCCAAAGAGUUUCAGCUCCAGAUCUGAGAUUUUUUCCUGUUCCUAAGAGUCCUCUAGCUGCAAGGCCGAAACUUGACUUGAAUCACUCAGAUCAAACUCUAAACAGGGAAAUCUUGUUGAGUUCCCACACUGUGCCUCUUCGGACUGACGUCCAACAGCAUGACAGGCUGAAAUCUCACCUGAAUAGAGCUCAGAGUCUACCUCCUGUUGAGGUGGAGGUCUUAUAUGCAGGAGAUGCAGAUGAAUUGCGUCCUUGCCCUGCUGUGCCCUACCAUGCCAGUGAUACAGAAGUUCCCAUGUCCAAAACCUCUGGGAAGGAAAAGAGUGCACUAGAGGGAAGGAGGGCAAUUUCAGAGGUCCCCUUGCAAGUGGGUGGGGCUGAGGCAUGGCAAAAGAGGUCAGAAAUCGAGCCAUUGGAGGAGGAAAAGGUGAAGAAGCGGACCUCACUGUUCUCGCCAAGGAAGAACCGAAAAAGUGGCAGCCUGUCAGGGGAAACACAGCAGGAGCUGGGGAAACACAAAUCUCUGUGGAAGAGUGUCUUCUCUGGCUAUAAGAAAGAGAAGAAGAGGAAAGAGGUAGAAGGUUCCAGGACUUUGCCUAGCACUACCAGCCAGGAAAGCAGGAAAAGAAUGCCUGGUUUUCACAGAACCUCAGACCUGAGCUCAAUGAAGGACCUGAGCUUCUCUGAAGAAACAGACCUGUGCUGCAGUGUUGUUCUAGACAGAUCUCCACUUAGAGCUCAGCUGUGUCAGGAGGUGUCUGACCUUAUUAGGUCAGAUGUUCAGAAAGAGAGAAUCGAAGAGGAGGAGGGUGGAGUUGAGGAGCGAGACGAGUCUGUUUAUGUGCCCCACGCAUUGGCAUUCAAGAGAGCAUACGCCAUUAAGAAACACAGCAGGAAGUCACAGAGGCCCAACAAGAAAGCAGGAACCGAGGAGGAGCUGGAUGCCAAGCUGACCCGCAGAGUACAAAGAGCUGCACGCAGGCAGGCCAAGCAGGAGGAGCUGAAAAGGCUGCAUCGUGCACAGAUAAUCCAGCGGCAGUUGGAGCAGGUGGAAAUGAAGCAGAGACAGUUGGAGGAGAAGGGCAUCGCUGUAGAGAAGGCUCUCAGAGGAGAAGCGGACUACUGGGAGGACUCUAGUAUCUCAGACCUUCUGGACAUUCACCUGGGUGGUAUGUAGCUGAACCUGAUCAGAAUCAGGCUAACAUCGCUAACAAGCCAAACGAUUUCCUUCUUCCAGAGAAAUGUUUUGUGCUGAAGAAACUUCAUGAGCCAAAAUAUUUUCACAAUACAAAACUUUUCCCUCUUCUUCUUUCUAAUUCUUGCUCUGGGUUUGGAUUUUUUUAACUUCAUCUUAGCUUCUUAACUUCUUCUUUUUAUAGACUGGCUAAUCUAAAAUGGCUAACAGUGAAUAACUCUCUUCUGCUAGCGUUCACUCAAGUACUGUAUGUUGUUGGAGUGGUGUCAAAUCGCUUGCAUCUGUGUGUAUGUUUUGUUGUUUAAGUGUGUGUGUGUGUGUGUGUACGUCUUUCAUCAUCAUUUUGUCAUUCUUAUACCAUCAGCCUAUUUUCACGUCAGCAAGCGACAAGUCAUUUGUGGGCGUGUAGUAAGCAAUAAUUUUGCUGCUAGUGGGCGUGGCCUGUCCAGUGUUUUUUUCUUCUUAGUCCUGUUGAAAAAUAGUAGUAGACAAAAUAUGAAAGAGAAAAUAAGACAUAUUAAACAAUGUAAAUUAUGUUACAUGCUUGGUUUUGUACUAGCUUUGUUGACAAAGUAGCAAAGCAAGCUAACUCUACUAGCUACAUGCUCUUCCCAGAGGCACUGGAUGCCUCCAGUACUUCCUUAGUGAUGGGAAAUUCGGAUCGUUUUACUGACUCGGACCUUUGAAUCUUGUUCAGCGAAAUGAACUAAUCUUUUUUCAAGUCAUUUUGUUCAUUUCAGCAGAAUAUAAUUACACGAGACUGACAGGAACAAGAACAGAACUUUUUCAUUUUUCAGAAAAUCUUCAUUGCACAUGUCUUUUGAUCAUUCCUAAAUAUUAUGUAACAUUACAUUAAUAUUACAGACUGUAUGAUACCGGUCUUGGAAGUGGUCACGUGAUGAAAGGACCAACGAAUCGCACCCGAAGACUCAAGAGAUGAGCUAAUCAUUUCUGUUUCUGCCACAGACUGCAUAGCUGAAGCCUAUGAGGCUUGUCACGUGAUGACGGAGAUGACCAUGUUUCCCGUUUAGUACCUAUAGGAUGUUGCGCAUGCGUGGUCAAUACAAAAUGAACAAAUCGCUCUCUGAGAUGACUCGUUGCUCCCGAGUCACAUUAAGGAGUCAUUCAUAAUAAACGAAUCGUACAUCAGUACGUCCUUCCAAGCCAUAUGUUUUUUUUAAACUCUACACAUAUAUAUUUUAAGAGGUUGUAUAUGCCAGAAGAUGGUCUCCUGGUGGUCUUGGGCAGGAUCCUAUGCUCUCGUUGUUGUGGACCGGGUUCGAUUCCCGGGGCAGGGAGCUAACCCAGCCACUGAAGAAUUAACUCUUAGUGCCGGUCCCAAACCUGGAUCAAAUGGGCAUCUGGCGUAAAGCCUGUGCCAAAUCGAAACCCCAAAUCGGGCGACCCCAACAUAUGCCAGAAUAAAAUGGCACCAGUUGUAAGGUUGUCUUUGGUAUCAAACAAUAAAUAGGAAAUAACAGGAUGUAGGAAUUAAAGUAAGCAGUUCAUGGGGAACUGAAGAAAAGUAGGACCUAAGUGUUCCAGGAUUGGUCCAAAAGAAUCAUACGAGCCAAUCGUUUGGAUUCGUUGCUUUACCUAAUUUGCAUAGAUUCAUUGUAUUACAUACAUACAGCUAGUGUGAAUGUUUAAAAAGUUUGGCUUUACUUUCUUAUCUGAAUUCCACACUGCCUUCCUCAGCAGUCCGCUCAGCUCUGUCUCAUCCCCUCUUCAUCUCCAAACCUUCAUUUCACAUCAUUAUAUUCUCCUACCUUAUAUUCUCUGUGUUCCCUUCUGAUAUCCCUGAAACGUCUUCCCUCCUGUCUCUUUUUCUGUCUUUCUCUUUUUUUCUGUCUUGCUGUGCCCCUAGUUGAGCCCUUUCUCGGUUCCCCCCGUAGGAGACCCGUCUUACUCUGUCCUUGUUGUUCCCAAGCAGCUAAAGCCAAAGGCACGGAGC